UGUCCAGGGGCGGGAAUCGAACCCACAACCUUCCGCUUACCGGGCAGAUGCCAUGUCCACUAGGCUACCCUGUC
rnacentral:tRNA from 1 species